rnacentral:rRNA from 1 species
ACGUAGGGGGCAAGCGUUGUCCGGAAUUACUGGGCGUAAAGCGCACGCAGGCGGUUUGUUAAGUCGGCUGUGAAAGAUUGGGGCUCAACCCCGGAUUGCGUUCGAUACUGGCGGACUUGAGUGUCGGAGAGGGAAGUGGAAUUUUCGGUGUAGCGGUGAAAUGCGUAGAUAUCGGGAGGAACACCAGUGGCGAAGGCGGCUUCCUGACCGACAACUGACGCUCAUGUGCGAAAGCUGGGGGAGCAAACAG